GACGAACGCUGGCGGCGUGCUUAACACAUGCAAGUCGAACGAUGAACCCGGAGCUUGCUCCGGUGGAUUAGUGGCGAACGGGUGAGUAACACGUGAGUAACCUGCCCUUGACCCUGGGAUAACUGCGGGAAACUGUAGCUAAUACCGGAUACGACCCUCGGCGGCAUCGCCAGGGGGUGGAAAGAAUUUCGGUCAAGGAUGGACUCGCGGCCUAUCAGCUAGUUGGUGAGGGAACGGCUCACCAAGGCGACGACGGGUAGCCGGCCUGAGAGGGUGACCGGCCACACUGGGACUGAGACACGGCCCAGACUCCUACGGGAGGCAGCAGUGGGGAAUAUUGCACAAUGGGCGCAAGCCUGAUGCAGCAACGCCGCGUGAGGGAUGACGGCCUUCGGGUUGUAAACCUCUUUUACGUGGAAUGAGAGUUCCACGAGAAUAAGUAACUGCUAACUCUGUGCCAGCCGCCGCAGUAA
rnacentral:rRNA from 1 species